UACAGGGGGGGCAAGCGUUGUUCGGAAUUACUGGGCGUAAAGGGCCAGUAGGCGGCCAACUAAGUCACACGUGAAAUCCCCAGGCUUAACCUGGGAACUGCGUGUGAUACUGGAUGGCUUGAAUUCGGGAGAGGGAUGCAGAAUUCCAGGUGUAGCGGUGAAAUGCGUAGAUAUCUGGAGGAAUACCGGUGGCGAAGGCGGCAUCCUGGCCUGUUCUUGACGCUGAGGCGCGAAAGCUAGGGGAGCAAACGGG
rnacentral:rRNA from 1 species